rnacentral:lncRNA from 1 species
ACUACCUUUUGCAGCAACACCUGCUUCCCCGAUGCAUAUGGAUGUCCGGUGUUUCUAGUAUCUUCUCUUCAAGAGAUUUUUCUUUCUCCAUCGCUUCGUUUUGGCAUACUUGUCGAAAAUCAGCUGGCCGUUAGGGCAAAAGUUUAUUUUUGGACUCUGAGUUUUGUUUGCUGACUUACAUGUCUGUCGCUAUGGCCCUGUCCUGCCACCUCGGUUACUGCAGUUUUGCAACAAGGUUUGAAACGUGAAGCGUGAGUCCUCCCACUGGGUUCUUUUUUUUUUUUUUUAAAGAUUUUAUUUAUUUAUUUGACAGAGAGAGACCACAAGUAGGCAGAGAGGCAGGCAGAGAGAGGAAGGGAAGCAGGCUCCCUGCUGAGCAGAGAGCCCGAUGCGGGGCUCGAUCCCAGGACCCUGGGAUCAUGACCUGAGCCGAAGGCAGAGGCUUUAACCCACUGAGCCACCCAGGUGCCCCCUCCCACUGGGUUCUUGAUCCUCAAGACCGUUUUUGCGUUAUUUGGGGGUCCCUCAUGUUUCUCUAUGAAUUUGAGGAUUAGUUCGAGAAUUUCUGCAGAGUAAGAGUGACCCCGAUUCUGACAGGGGUUGUGUUGAGCAUAAAGACCCACUGGGGGAAAACGGCAUCUCAAACAAUCUUCCGGGCCACGGCAGACCCGUGACUCUUGGACCACUUCGAAUUCUGAAGGAAGGUGUCCAACAUGUGCCCACUUAGCAAGGGUCCGGCAGGGAACUCCAACAAGCCUCAUCAGAAUACUGAGGAGGAAUUGGCUGGUUUGGGGGUAUCUGCAAAGCAUACACUUUUCUGGGCUGCUUGAAUUCUCUACGGUGGAUCAUGGCAUCCAAACGCCGGAUGACUUCUCCAGGCACAGAGGAAAUAAAAGAAACAGAAGAAUUGGGAAAACACCUCAGUGCCUGGACAUCCACUACCCCCAGAGAAAACAGAACAACAGUCUCUUAUCUUUUAGGACCCAGGAGCAUCAUACAUGACUGCAAGAAUUCUGGGGACCAGACAUCUUUGUGUGGCCUCAGAAUUACAUCACUACUUAGGAGUGACCACACUUUGGAUUUUGUUUCUUCUCCAUCUGGUUCACCCAUUUGCUGCCUCUGAUGGUUCUGCUGUGGAUAGAAUUCAAGGUUGACAGUGCUUGUUAUCUUAGCAUUUAAUGUUACUCCUGGUGGUCUUCUGGCUUGCGUUGUUUCCAGUAACUCAGUCCUCAUUCUUACUGUUUACACUUAGUUUGUGAAAAUCUCUUUUCCAUCUCUGACUCAGCCAGAUAAUGUCCAUCAACCUGUGUCAGUUUCAUGAAUCUUUCUUUUGAAGAUUCAACAUGCUGUUAAUGUCAUCUAAUGAAUAUUUUACUUCCCACGUUGCAGUUUACACCCUAGAAUUUCCAUGUCCAUUUGGUCCUUCAUGAGAGUUCCCUUUUCUCUCCUGAAACACCCCUAUCUCUUACCCAUUGCAUUCGUUUUUUUCUUUAAAUGUUAAAAUUGUUUAUAGCAAUUAUUCUUAAAUUCUUUUUUAAAAGAUUUUGUUUUUAAGUAAUCUCUAUACCCAAACUGGGUCUUGAAUUCAUAGCCCUGAGAUCAAGACUUGCAUGCUCUACCAACUGAGCUAGCAGGGAGCCCUUGUUUUAAAAUUCUUGAUCCUAAUUCCAAUAACUGGGGUUAAUUGUAGGUCUGUCUCUAUAAGCUGUUUCUUUUUCUUGAUUAUAGGUUGUGUCUUGCAUUCGUAUGCAUGCCUUGUGAUUUUGUGUGUGUGUGUCUAAGAUAGACAUAGACAAUGAAUACUGAAGUACAAUAAUGUUUUCACUUUAUUUCUUAGAGAAUGUAGGCUCUCUCCUCCUGACUGCUGAAGAGAAGGUCUCACUAUUCAGCUUCCUUCCAGAGUCAAAUCGACCUGGGUCUCGGCUUAAGUUUUAAUUAGAUAGAGAUGUGGUGUGCUUAGACUGACCCUCAGACUCUCACACUUUGAGAGAAAUUAUUGAUAUUUGAGGUGAUGGGUUUCUAUUUUUAAUAUUUUUCAUUUACUUUGGAUUUGACUCAGAAGAUAACUAGAAUCUAAAGACUGUGGGAGUACGGGGGUCUUUGUCUACUUGCUCUGGAGGUUAGCCCUUUCUUCCAGGAGACUUUUUGGUCAAAGUUUGAGGGCAGGGUAGAAAUAGGAGAGUGGUUGAAGCAAUUUAUUUUUCUAGUGGGGACACUUCCUCAUUGCAUUCACUUCGGCAGCUGCCAGUACCCCCAAAGCUGAGGUGAUUUCUUCUCCUUGCAAGGUCUCCCCAAUAUCCGGCCAUACCCGACCAGAAACUCUUCCCCAGCAGUAGGGCUGUCCUGACUCCCUUUACCAGCAUGGGGCUCAUUUCUCUGAAAUUCAGUUCAUUAAGACUUCCUUUGUGCCUGAUCUUUGUUAGUCUCAUGGGAAAGUAGGAUUUUUAUAUGUCUGGCUUCUUGGUGUUACCAUGCGAAUAAAGGUCUUUCAUGUCCUUCUACAUUCUAACUUAAAGUAAAAGUUGGAAUCAAACUUUUGAAUUUAAGAAAAUAAAACCAUAA